GCUGGGAGAGCUCAGUUUGUAGAGCAUGAGACUCUUAAUCUCAAAGUCGUGGGUUCGAGCCCCACAAAAGCUUCCUGCA